CUUUAUUUGGGGAAGUUUAUGUGUCACAUGAGAUAAGUAAAGUCCUUAACAGUGCACAUGCUUACAUUUUAAACAUGUUUUUAGUAUAGGUUAUAUGCAUGAUUAAAAUAAAGCAUGUUUUAUGGUACUGGACCAGUUAUUUCCCAGUGUUUUUAGCAUGUAACUCUUUAAAAACGUCUUGACUGCGAUUCCUUUAGAAUUCAGUCCUACUGAAUUCACUUGAAAUGGGACGGCAGCCAACAAAAGGACGCGAAAGUUGUCUUUUUAUCCCCUUUAAACUGCUUUUAUUUAUGAUGUGGUGGUUUGUAAAAGCGAUCUUGCAGGCAGACACAACACAAACGCCCGGUUUGUUAUUGAAACGUAUCCUGGGAGGUGGGCCCUGUAUGCAGUUACAGUGGGAGAGGUGGAGCCUAAGCCACGCCCAGUCCAGUCACAACUCAAUCACACAAAACAAGUACGUUGCUGUUAUUCUUUUUCUGUUUGUCCACAACUUCUUCUUAGUCAGGCUUUUUAAUACUGAACAUCACCUGUGUCACUCCCAAUAACAGCACGUGUUUAUUGUGGACUGAUUUGCUUUUUUCGGGGUUAAUUUUUGUGUGUUAUCCGAACAUUUCAUUACAGAAGGGAAUGCGGUACGGAAGCUGAGGGAAAAAAACGCACAGAAAAAAGAGCCUCAAGUCACCUCUCUGCUCUUUCUCUGCAGGACAUGUCGCUUGUGUUUUUGAUGUUUUCCAUUGUCUUCUUCGGCUCAUCCUCUGGUAUACAAACUGAUGAGGUGUGCUAUGGCAGGAGGUGGCAGUUUCCAUCUAAUUAUACACCCUUACGUUAUACUGGACCGAUAUACUUUACUCAAAGUAAUGGAGGAUCCGUGAAAGUUGUUAUAAACAAUGGGAUGGUGAGCAGUUUCAGGUUCUAUGUGACCAUUACAUUUCUGCAAUAUGAUAAAUGUUAGACCUCUGUUUGAAACAAUUAAAUCAUAGUAUAUAUAAUCUGUUUUAAUCUGAGGACUAUAUAUGUGCUAUCUACCUUUCAGGCAAUAGACGGACGCUUCAGAGUCUCUCUUGGCGCAAUUUAUGUUACAAAUGUGACAGAAAGAGAUGAAGGAAUUUAUUCUGUCUCAUCUGGUGGCCACCAGCGACACAGUGUUGUUGAACUGAAAGUCUUGGAAUGUGCCGAAAAGGUCACAAGGAAUUACUACUAUACGUGGGAGUACUCGAUCCCUAGACGGGCUGAAAUCCUGGAGUUUACUCCCCUUCACAGUCCGGACCAGCCAAAGAUCCUGUGGAAUCGCACAGACUCUCAGAUCAGAGAAAGCAGAGCUGAGGUGAGAAACGGUAAUUGGCAGCUGUCUUACCUCACUCAUGCAGACAGUGGCUACUACAACUUCAGGGAUAAGGACCACUCUGUGUUGGCCAGGGUGCUGCUCAAAGUACAAGAACAAACCAGACACUAUGAAACAAAGUGGAAUGAGUACCUCGUCAUUGAAUACCCUCGGGGUGCUAAGAAGUGGACCAUGACUUUUACACCUGAGGGGAAAAUGGAACCCAAAACACUGAUGGAUGGCAGUCUGAUCAUAAAAGAUAAUCAUUUUUCUGGCAGAAUUCGUGCAGUGAUAGAUGGCAUAGUAAUCGAUCCUGCCGAAAUUGGAGACUCUGGCACCUUUGAGUUCAGAGACCCAGAAGGCAACCUGAUCUUGAGUGCUCAGCUUGAAGUGAUCCCUGAAAUGUUGCCACAGAUUAUAUUUAUGGUUGUGACUGUCUUGAUUGUCAUCUUGGUGAUGGUCUGCUGUUGCUGUUGUUGUAAAAAGUGCUGUAAAAGGGACAAGUCUGCUCCUCAGACUGCAGCCUCACCUGCACCUGCUGUAUAUUAUCAUAAUGAGAAUGAACCUGCAUGCCCAAGCUACUCACAUCCUUCAGCUUUGUCUUAUCAGCCUGUGAAUUCUCAUGUUUCUACACAGCCUUCAGCUACCUCCUCUGAGCCACCGGUAGGUGUAAAGCUUGAUUUAAAUUCAAGGCAAAGAUAAAAGUGAGGUGAAAGGAAUUGAGCCACUUUUGUUGUUUUGAAAAGAAGUAGUGUUUGUGGAUUGGCCCAUUUGAGUUUAACUAAGUCUUUAUCUCAUCUGGGCCUGCCGGGCAACUCACAAUAGCACCAAUCCUCUUUCCUCUUCUGACUCCUGUGCUUUUUUCUAACUUCACAGAUGUACCACAAAGUGAAUAUCCAUGAGAGCCCUGCUCAGCCUGAGGUAUAUACACACACACAAACAUCCAAAAUUCCCCAUGAAUGCAUAAAACCAAGAACAGGAAUUUCCUCGUUCAGAGGCAUUUUUGGCCUGUCAGUGACUGAUUCAUUUUACCCACUGCACUUAUGCACCUUUUUCGUUUUACCAAUGUCUCCAGGUUGCAGUACCUGGAAAGCAGGCUUCCACUCCAGAUCCCUCGGUCGGCCCAGACUUCCUCUUGUCAGACCCAGAGCCGCGAUUUGAACUGAAAGGAUUAGACAUGCCUUUUGCACCAUCUCUUACUUCAGACACAACUAUCUGUGAUGUUUAUAACUCAGACAAACUAAACUUUCUGUAAAUAGCAUGCUGAAAAUUCAGGUAGAGUUCAUUCCACUUUUUCCAUUUUCAUCUUUGCAAAGCUAUUGUCAUACAUGCACAGGAAAAAGGCCAUGCAGACAGAUGUUAAUCGCACUGUGUUGAUACAUUAUCAGUUUUUUAUCUUUCACACCAAGAUGUACUGUUAUAAAAUGUAUGGAUUCCAAUUAUAUUUUUUCAGUUAACAAGAUUGCUUGUAAGUUUGUAAAGUCGUGUCUUGAAAACAGUUUGGUUCUGGGAAAGCUUUGAAUUUUUUUUUUCUUCCUAAUUUAUCCUCAGGUACAAGAACAUAAAUCUCACUCAGUGUUGUCCUCAAAAUGCCCUGUUACAUCUCCAGCAGCUGAAGUGUGAACUACGGAAUCAGGGUUUUAUUAUAUUGUGGAAUAUAAAUGCAUAUGCUGUAAAUUAGAAUUGUUAUUUGCAUGUAGUGUCUACUUUGCUUCUCUCCACGGAGCUAAGGAUAUUUACUGAAUAACAGAUAAUGCAAUCCAGUAUAAUGGCAAAGCAUGUAAUACGCUUUGCCAUUGAUAUCGGACUAGAUAAUGUUGCUAGCUUUAGCUUGUAUGGGUAUUUUCUACCUCUGUCAUGUGCAUUCAGCUCCAUACAUCACUUGUUUGUGGCUUUUAUUGUUGCGUUUUGAGGGAUGUUGGGCAAUUUUUAAAAGUGGCUUUUUAUAUUGUUUAAUUCUCAAAUGCAAUACAAGUAUAACUGUGGUUCUGUAUAUCUUUAAACAGAAGCUUGUAUAAAAGUUUUAUCGGGCAUUGAAAAACAUGUAUUGUUUAUAUAAUAUAUGUAAAAUUCUGAUAGUUGUUUGCAUUGCAUGAAGAUGUCCGAAUAUGGAAUCAGUGUAAUGAUUUGAAAAAGACCUUAAAGAGCUUACAUAAAUUUUUAAACUGUCCCUUUGUCUCGCUCCCUCUUUCUGUCUCACUCUCUCUCUCUAACACACACACACACACACACACACACACACACACACACACACACACACACACACACACGCACACACACGCACACGCGCGCGGACACAGUGGAAUGACAACACCACUACUUCUUACAUUUUAAAAAAUCUAAAUGGAAGAGCCCCUUAAAAUUUGCAUGGAAACUAGAGGGUUAGGCAUUUUUUAACAUUACAAUCAGCAUUACAGUUGUAAUAGCUUCUAAUGCAACUGUAAGUCAUUUAAUUAUAACAGCAUUUGUAUGUUGACAGACAUUUAAAAAAGCUGGUUUUGGAGAGUCUGCUACUAUGCAGCUCUUAUAGCAAGUUGAUGUGCAGAUGUUAAUUCCUGCAGUGGAUGUUCCUUUGCCUACAUGCAUGUAGUUUAAGUAAUUGCUUUGUGUUAUCAUAUUUCGUAGAUAAAUAUAAAUUGGUGUCAUCUGCAUAGCAAUGAAAAUGCAUGUGUUUUCUAAUAAUAUUGCAUGAGGGGAAACAUAUAAUGUAAAAAGUAUUGGUUCUAGGACAGAACUCUGUGGAACUCCAUGAAAAAUUCUUUAACUUACAUUAAUACUACCUGUCUACCUGUUCAUUCCUGGUCCAUUCCUGGUAUAAAGCCUGAGAAUAACUGCUAUGGCAUGGGGUUAAACUUUUCAUCUGAUUAUAUACAUAUUAUUUAUUAUGGACCAGUACAGUUCACUCCAAAUAAAGGAGGCUCCUCAAAAUUUGAGGUAAAUGUUUGGAGGUAAGCUGCUCCACGUGCUGUGUGACCAUGUCUGGUCUUAAUGAGAAUUAAACUAUCCUGCAUCAACCAAUCUGUUUGAUAAUAGAUUUGUUUAGAUAGACUUUUCCACUUGAAGUACUUUUUUCUACUGUUUUUGUACAUAAGUGCUUUCUAUCUAGCAUUCACACUUAUCAUAUCGGUGAGUAACUUGGGGUUCAGUAUCCCAAGAAUCCUUUGGCAUGCUGAUUGUAACAGCCAGGGAUUGAAGCACCAACCUUCUGAUUAGUGGAUGACCUGCUCUACCUCCAGAGCCCUGUUACUUGUGCAUUUCUAAAUACAAGUUCACUCUGUUUUUUGUUGUUGUUUAAAAAAAAAAUAAAAAAUUCUA
rnacentral:lncRNA from 1 species